rnacentral:rRNA from 1 species
GAGUUUGAUCCUGGCUCAGAGUGAACGCGGCGGCGUGCCUAAUACAUGCAAGUCGAACGGAGAUUAAAGUAAGCUUGCUUAUUUUAAUCUUAGUGGCGCACGGGUGAGUAAUGUAUAGCUAAUCUGCCCUACACUAGAGGACAACAGUUGGAAACGACUGCUAAUACUCUAUACUCCUUCUUUACAUAAGUUAAGUCGGGAAAGUUUUUCGGUGUAGGAUGAGGCUAUAUCGUAUCAGCUAGUUGGUGAGGUAAUGGCUCACCAAGGCUAUGACGCGUAACUGGUCUGAGAGGAUGAUCAGUCACACUGGAACUGAGACACGGUCCAGACUCCUACGGGAGGCAGCAGUAGGGAAUAUUGCUCAAUGGGGGAAACCCUGAAGCAGCAACGCCGCGUGGAGGAUGACACUUUUCGGAGCGUAAACUCCUUUUCUUGGGAAAGAAUUAUGACG